GAAUCUUGCGCAAUGGGCGAAAGCCUGACGCAGCGACGCCGCGUGAGCGAUGAAGGCCUUCGGGUUGUAAAGCUCUGUGGGGAGGGAAGAAUAAGGGCUGGCUAAUAUCCAGCCUGAUGACGGUACCUCCUUAGCAAGCCCCGGCUAACUCUGUGCCCGCAGCCGCGGUAAUACAGAGGGUGCAAACGUUGUUCGGAAUUACUGGGCGUAAAGCGCGUGCAGGCGGCCUUGCAAGUCGGACGUGAAAUCCCACGGCUCAACCGUGGAAGUGCAUUCGAAACUGCGAGGCUGGAGUCCUGGAGAGGAAAGUGGAAUACUCGGUGUAGAGGUGAAAUUCGUAGAUAUCGAGUGGAACACCGGUGGCGAAGGCGGCUUUCUGGACAGGUACUGACGCUGAGACGCGAAAGCGUGGGGAGCAAACAGG
rnacentral:rRNA from 1 species